UACAGAGGGUGCUAGCGUUGUUCGGAAUCAUUGGGCGUAAAGGGCGUGUAGGCGGUUUGUUAAGUCAUGUGUGAAAGCCCCGGCUCAACCGGGGAACGACGCAUGAAACUGGCAAGCUAGAGUACCGAAGAGGGGGUGGAAUUCCCGGUGUAGCGGUGAAAUGCGUAGAGAUCGGGGGAACACCGGUGGCGAAGGCGGCAUCCUGGACCAACACUCGACGCUGAGGAGCGAAAGCCAGGGGAGCAAAGCGGG
rnacentral:rRNA from 1 species